rnacentral:rRNA from 1 species
ACAUGCAAGUCGAGGGGUAACAUUAGUGCUUGCACUAGAUGACGACCGGCGCACGGGUGCGUAACGCGUAUAGAAUCUACCUUUUACAGGGGGAUAGCCUUUAGAAAUGAAGAUUAAUAUCCCAUAGUAUUGCGAAGUGGCAUCACUUUGUAAUUAAAGAUUUAUCGGUAAAAGAUGACUAUGCGUCCUAUUAGUUAGUUGGUAAGGUAACGGCUUACCAAGACUUCGAUAGGUAGGGGUCCUGAGAGGGAGAUCCCCCACACUGGUACUGAGACACGGACCAGACUCCUACGGGAGGCAGCAGUGAGGAAUAUUGGGCAAUGGAGGUAACUCUGACCCAGCCAUGCCGCGUGCAGGAAGACUGCCCUAUGGGUUGUAAACUGCUUUUAUACAGGAAGAAACACUGCUACGUGUAGCAGCUUGACGGUACUGUAAGAAUAAGGACCGGCUAACUCCGUGCCAGCAGCCGCGGUAAUACGGAGGGUCCGAGCGUUAUCCGGAAUCAUUGGGUUUAAAGGGUCCGCAGGCGGUCAAUUAAGUCAGAGGUGAAAUCCCAUAGCUUAACUAUGGAACUGCCUUUGAUACUGGUUGACUUGAGUCAUAUGGAAGUAGAUAGAAUGUGUAGUGUAGCGGUGAAAUGCAUAGAUAUUACACAGAAUACCGAUUGCGAAGGCAGUCUACUACGUAUGUACUGACGCUCAUGGACGAAAGCGUGGGGAGCGAACAGGAUUAGAUACCCUGGUAGUCCACGCCGUAAACGAUGGACACUAGUUGUUGGGCAUUAGCUCAGUGACUAAGCGAAAGUGAUAAGUGUCCCACCU